rnacentral:tRNA from 1 species
GCAUUUAUAGUAAAAAAAUUACGGUUACUUUCCACGUAACAAUUUUGGUUAGUUCCAAUAAAUGCU